rnacentral:rRNA from 1 species
UGCAAGUCGAGCGCGGGAAGCCGGCGGACUCCUUCGGGAGGAACCGGUGGAACGAGCGGCGGACGGGUGAGUAACACGUGGGCAACCUGCCGGACUGAUGGGAAUAACCCCGGGAAACCGGGGCUAAUGCCCAAUACGCCCUGACCUCGCCUGAGGUCAGCGGUAAAGCAGGGAUCUUCGGAUCCUUGCACAGUCCGAUGGGCCCGCGGCGCAUUAGCUAGUUGGAGAGGUAAGGGCUCCCCAAGGCGACGAUGCGUAGCCGACCUGAGAGGGUGAUCGGCCACACUGGGACUGAGACACGGCCCAGACUCCUACGGGAGGCAGCAGUAGGGAAUCAUCCGCAAUGGGCGAAAGCCUGACGGUGCAACGCCGCGUGAGUGAUGAAGGUUUUCGGAUCGUAAAGCUCUGUUGACAGGGAAGAACCCACGUCAGUCGAACAGGCUGGCGUGCUGACGGUACCUGUCCAGAAAGCCCCGGCUAACUACGUGCCAGCAGCCGCGGUAAUACGUAGGGGGCAAGCGUUGUCCGGAAUUAUUGGGCGUAAAGGGCACGCAGGCGGUUUCGUCAGUCCGAUGUGACAGGCCACGGCUCAACCGUGGAAGGCCAUUGGAAACUGCGAAACUUGAGGACAGAAGAGGAGAGUGGAAUUCCACGUGUAGCGGUGAAAUGCGUAGAUAUGUGGAGGAACACCAGUGGCGAAGGCGACUCUCUGGUCUGUACCUGACGCUGAGGUGCGAAAGCAUGGGGAGCAAACAGGAUUAGAUACCCUGGUAGUCCAUGCCGUAAACGCUGAGUGCUAGGUGUUAGGGGUUUCGAUACCCGUAGUGCCGAAGCUAACGCAUUAAGCACUCCGCCUGGGGAGUACGACCGCAAGGUUGAAACUCAAAGGAAUUGACGGGGGCCCGCACAAGCGGUGGAGCAUGUGGUUUAAUUCGACGCAACGCGAAGAACCUUACCAGAUCUUGACAUCUUCCGCUACGCCUCGAGAGA